rnacentral:lncRNA from 1 species
AACACGGGAACACCCACCUUUAGAGAUGAGACACAAGCAGGAGAAGAGGGAUUAAACCUGCUAGUUUUGGAAAAAAAAAAAAAAAGGAAAGAAAAGAAAAGAAAGAAAGAAAAACAAAAAACAACAACAAACAGAAAAAUGCAAAACUGCAGAACACGCAGUGGAGGUGGGGAGGAAACAGGGUCCACCCGCUGCUGCACAAGAGGGGUGUGUGCAGACCGUCACCUUGUGUCUGCUGUAGCAGGAGACCCCUGGCCAUGCGGGACUGAACCCAUGAUUGCAGCUGAUCUUACUCUGUCUCUUCUCUGUGUGAGUAAAGUGUUGUUCCAUCUAGUGCCUGUGUGAGUCGUGUCUUUCGUGGCGACACCUAUAAACCAUGGAGUGGGCUGACAUCCUGGUUCUGCUGCUCCUGGUGGCGGGCAUUGUUGUGCUGUUUGCCGUCCUCUACACAGUGCGAAUCUUCUCUACCCUGCCCGAGUCUCGGCAUCUCCAC